CCUACGAGCGGCCGCAGUGGGGCAUAUUGCACAAUGGGGGAAACCCUGCUGCAGCGACGCCGCGUGAGUGAAGAAGUAUUUCGGUACGUAAAGCUCUAUCAGCAGGGAAGAAAAUGACGGUACCUGACUAAGAAGCCCCGGCUAACUACGUGCCAGCAGCCGCGGUAAUAAGUAGGGGGCCAGCGUUAUCCGGAUUUACUGGGUGUAAAGGGAGCGUAGACGGCAGCGCAAGUCUGGAGUGAAAUCCAAUGGCUUAACCAUGGAACUGCUUUGGAAACUGUGCAGCUGGAGUGCAGGAGAGGUAAGCGGAAUUCCUAGUGUAGCGGUGAAAGGCGUAGAUAUUAGGAGGAACACCAGUGGCGAAGGCGGCUUACUGGACUGUAACUGACGUUGAGGCUCGAAAGCGUGGGGAGCAAACAGGAUUAGAUACCCGAGUAGUC
rnacentral:rRNA from 1 species